rnacentral:rRNA from 1 species
UAGGGAAUCUUCCACAAUGGACGCAAGUCUGAUGGAGCAACGCCGCGUGAGUGAAGAAGGCUUUCGGGUCGUAAAACUCUGUUAUUGAAGAAGAACGUGCGUGACAGUAACUGGUCAUGCAGUGACGGUAUUCAAUCAGAAAGUCACGGCUAACUACGUGCCAGCAGCCGCGGUAAUACGUAGGUGGCAAGCGUUGUCCGGAUUUAUUGGGCGUAAAGCGAGUGCAGGCGGUCUUUUAAGUCUGAUGUGAAAGCCUUCGGCUUAACCGAAGAAGGGCAUCGGAAACUGGGAGACUUGAGUGCAGAAGAGGAGAGUGGAACUCCAUGUGUAGCGGUGAAAUGCGUAGAUAUAUGGAAGAACACCAGUGGCGAAGGCGGCUCUCUGGUCUGUAACUGACGCUGAGGCUCGAAAGCGUGGGUAGCAAACAGGAUUAGAUACCCUGGUAGUCCACGCCGUAACGAUGAAUACUAAGUGUUGGAGGGCUUU